rnacentral:rRNA from 1 species
AGUGAACGCUGGCGGUAGGCCUAACACAUGCAAGUCGAACGGCAGCACAGUAAGAGCUUGCCCUUACGGGUGGCGAGUGGCGGACGGGUGAGGAAUACAUCGGAAUCUACUUUUUCGUGGGGGAUAACGUAGGGAAACUUACGCUAAUACCGCAUCCGACCUACGGGUGAAAGCAGGGGAUCUUCGGACCUUGCGCGAUUGAAUGAGCCGAUGUCGGAUUAGCUAGUUGGCGGGGUAAAGGCCCACCAAGGCGACGAUCCGUAGCUGGUCUGAGAGGAUGAUCAGCCACACUGGAACUGAGACACGGUCAAGACUCCUACGGGAGGCAGCAGUGGGGAAUAUUGGACAAUGGGCGCAAGCCUGAUCCAGCCAGACCGCGUGGGUGAAGAAGGCCUUCGGGUUGUAAAGCCCUUUUGUUGGGAAAGAAAAGCAGCAGGUUAAUACCCCGCUGUUCUGACGGUACCCAAAGAAUAAGCACCGGCUAACUUCGUG